CAUUUUAAUAUUUUAUGAUGUAUUUAAAAGAGUAGUUAUUGUUGCAAACUCCAUUAGAAAUUUGAAUUGAUAUCAGUUUUGGAAAAAGGGAAACGGGGAUGUGAAAAAAAAGGGGGGGGUUUAAAUUUUUCUCAUUUCAGAUUUCAUAAAUAAAAAGAAAAUUUCUUCAAACAUUUUUUUGAGAGGAUUAAUAUUCAACAGCAUAGUGAAUUGCUCAAAGGCAAAAAAAAACUUUUAAGUUCAUUAGACCACAUUCGUUCUGUGUCAGAAACCUAUGCUGUGUCAUGAUCAACUAUUUAAUUUUAGAUUUAAAAAGUUUGAAGAAGAAAUCUUUAAUUGAUUUGUAAAAUCUUGACAUUUGUUUUGUGUAAAAAAAAACCCAUGUAAUGUCAAAAAUUUGAUCACAAUCCAAAUUCAGAGCUGUAUCACGCUUGAAUGUUUUGUCCAUACUUGCCCCAAC
rnacentral:lncRNA from 1 species